rnacentral:rRNA from 1 species
UACGGAGGGGGCUAGCGUUGUCCGAAGUUACUGGGCGUAAAGCGCGCGUAGGCGGGUUGGUAAGUCCGCUGUGAAAGCCCGGGGCUCAACUCCGGAGGGUCGGUGGAUACUGCCAGUCUUGAAGGUGCUAGGGGGAGAUGGAAUUACCGGUGUAGCGGUGAAAUGCGUAGAUAUCGGUAGGAACACCAGUGGCGAAGGCGGUCUCCUGGGGCAUUCUUGACGCUGAGGCGCGAAAGCUGGGGGAGCGAACGGG